CCUACGGGUGGCAGCAGUGAGGAAUAUUGGUCAAUGGACGAGAGUCUGAACCAGCCAAGUAGCGUGAAGGAUGACUGCCCUAUGGGUUGUAAACUUCUUUUAUAUGGGAAUAAAAUGUUCCACGUGUGGGAUUUUGUAUGUACCAUAUGAAUAAGGAUCGGCUAACUCCGUGCCAGCAGCCGCGGUAAUACGGAGGAUCCGAGCGUUAUCCGGAUUUAUUGGGUUUAAAGGGAGCGUAGAUGGAUUGUUAAGUCAGUUGUGAAAGUUUGCGGCUCAACCGUAAAAUUGCAGUUGAAACUGGCAGUCUUGAGUACAGUAGAGGUGGGCGGAAUUCGUGGUGUAGCGGUGAAAUGCUUAGAUAUCACGAAGAACUCCGAUUGCGAAGGCAGUUCACUGGACUGCAACUGACACUGAGGCUCGAAAGUGUGGGUAUCAAACAGGAUUAGAUACCCUAGUAGUC
rnacentral:rRNA from 1 species